CGUAGGCGGCCUCGUAGUCUCGACGCAGUUGAUUUAUUCGAACGGAAGAACGCCUUUUGUCUCGUCGUUUAGGAAUUUACAAGGAAGUUGCGCUGCCGUACCGCUGGUCGAAUUAAAAUCUCUAGAUUUCUUUCACGGCUUGAAUAUUAUGUAUCUGCAGGCAUACCAAGAAUUUACAACGAAGUUGCGCUGCCGCAUCGCUGGUCGAAUGAAUCGUUGGACUUCUUUCACGGCUUGAAUAUUAUGCAUCUACAGGCAUACCAAUGUUACAAUGGAAAUAAUUGGUCGAUAAUGCGACGUAGACGCGGCGCAUGUAAUUGGAUAUUAAAUUGGUAACGUCACUGUCUUUCUGCGGAGCGAUUCUCUUUCGCCCUCGAGGGACCGAAAGUUGGAUACGGUUUCCCGGACAACAUAAUGCAAUUUUGUCCGCAGCUUUCUCACAAAUACACAUCGCAAAUACAUCCGGGAUACUGCGCAUCGCGACGCGACAACAGCGGUUUUGUACUCGCACGGUCGAUAACCGCACUAUCGAUUUAAAUUGAGCCGUCGAACGAUCGAGUUAAUGGAGAACGGAGAUUGGGCCAAAAUGGGCAUAUCGGUACGACACGGAAGAAGCGUAAUUGAACGCAACCAAAGUGGCUUACUUGCAAGACGAUCUAUAAAUACAUGAGCGGCCACUGGUUCUCUGCUUCUCUCUUUCUCUCAUGUUUAAGCUUUGCUUUAUUAAUUCAAGUUUCUUCAUGCUUUUGCGCCUCGCGUUUCGUGCCGCUUCACCGUGACCAACUAUCGCAAUUCCAGAGAUCCGUAGUCAAUUGUAAGUGAACUUUGUGUCAUGCGAAUCGAAUCAUUUAAU